CGGAGGAAAAGAAACCAACCGGGAUUGCCUUAGUAACGGCGAGUGAAGCGGCAAAAGCUCAAAUUUGAAAUCUGGCUCUAUUUUGGGGUCCGAAUUGUAAUUUGAAGAAGCGACUUUGGACCUGGCUCUUGUCUAUGUUCCUUGGAACAGGACGUCACAGAGGGUGAGAAUCCCGUGCGAUGAGAAGCCCAGGUUCGUGUAAAGCGUUUUCGACGAGUCGAGUUGUUUGGGAAUGCAGCUCUAAGUGGGUGGUAAAUUCCAUCUAAAGCUAAAUAUUGGCGAGAGACCGAUAGCGAACAAGUACAGUGAUGGAAAGAUGAAAAGAACUUUGAAAAGAGAGUGAAAAAGUACGUGAAAUUGUUGAAAGGGAAGGGCUUGAGAUCAGACUUUGUUUUUCCAUGGCGCUCUUUCGGGGGUGUCCUCUGGGUCUACAGGGCCAGCAUGGGUUUUGCGGGCGAGACAAGGACUCAGGAAUGUGGCUCUGCUUCGGUGGAGUGUUAUAGCCUGGGGUACUGGUCGCCAUGCGGGACCGAGGACUGCGGUACUAGGAUGCUGGCAUAAUGAUCUUAAGCCGC
rnacentral:rRNA from 1 species